GUAGUGGUAGCUCAAUGGUUAAGGCUCUGGGUUAAUGAUCAGAAGGUCUGAGGUUCAAGUCCCAGCAAGUCCA